rnacentral:rRNA from 1 species
UGGGAAUUUUGGACAAUGGGCGAAAGCCUGAUCCAGCAAUGCCGCGUGUGUGAAGAAGGCCUUCGGGUUGUAAAGCACUUUUGUCCGGAAAGAAAUCCUUGGCUCUAAUACAGUCGGGGGAUGACGGUACCGGAAGAAUAAGCACCGGCUAACUACGUGCCAGCAGCCGCGGUAAUACGUAGGGUGCAAGCGUUAAUCGGAAUUACUGGGCGUAAGCGUGCGCAGGCGGUUUGCUAAGACCGAUGUGAAAUCCCCGGGCUCAACCUGGGAACUGCAUUGGUGACUGGCAGGCUAGAGUAUGGCAGAGGGGGGUAGAAUUCCACGUGUAGCAGUGAAAUGCGUAGAGAUGUGGAGGAAUACCGAUGGCGAAGGCAGCCCCCUGGGCCAAUACUGACGCUCAUGCACGAAAGCGUGGGGAGCAAACAGGAUU